rnacentral:rRNA from 1 species
UUAAGCGACUAAGCGUACACGGUGGAUGCCCUGGCAGUCAGAGGCGAUGAAGGACGUGCUAAUCUGCGAAAAGCGCCGGCGAGGUGAUAUGAACCCUUGACCCGGCGAUGUCCGAAUGGGGAAACCCAGUGUGUUCCGACACACUAUCGUUAACUGAAUACAUAGGUUAACGAGGCGAACCGGGGGAACUGAAACAUCUAAGUACCCCGAGGAAAAGAAAUCAACCGAGAUUCCCCCAGUAGCGGCGAGCGAACGGGGAGCAGCCCGGAGUCUGAAUCAGCUUGUGUGUUAGUGGAACGGUCUGGAAAGUCCGACGGUACAGGGUGAUAGUCCCGUACACGAAAAUGCACAGGUUGUGAACUCGAAGAGUAGGGCGGGACACGUGGUAUCCUGUCUGAAUAUGGGGGGACCAUCCUCCAAGGCUAAAUACUCCUGACUGACCGAUAGUGAACCAGUACCGUGAGGGAAAGGCGAAAAGAACCCCGGCGAGGGGAGUGAAAAAGAACCUGAAACCGUGUACGUACAAGCAGUGGGAGCACCUUCGGGUGUGACUGCGUACCUUUUGUAUAAUGGGUCAGCGACUUAUAUUCUGUAGCAAGGUUAACCGUAUAGGGGAGCCGAAGGGAAACCGAGUCUUAACUGGGCGUUAAGUUGCAGGGUAUAGACCCGAAACCCGGUGAUCUAGCCAUGGGCAGGUUGAAGGUUGGGUAACACUAACUGGAGGACCGAACCGACUAAUGUUGAAAAAUUAGCGGAUGACCUGUGGCUGGGGGUGAAAGGCCAAUCAAACCGGGAGAUAGCUGGUUCUCCCCGAAAGCUAUUUAGGUAGCGCCUCGUGAACUCAUCUUCGGGGGUAGAGCACUGUUUCGGCUAGGGGGCCAUCCCGGCUUACCAACCCGAUGCAAACUACGAAUACCGAAGAAUGUUAUCACGGGAGACACACGGCGGGUGCUAACGUCCGUCGUGAAGAGGGAAACAACCCAGACCGCCAGCUAAGGUCCCAAAGUCAUGGUUAAGUGGGAAACGAUGUGGGAAGGCACAGACAGCCAGGAUGUUGGCUUAGAAGCAGCCAUCAUUUAAAGAAAGCGUAAUAGCUCACUGGUCGAGUCGGCCUGCGCGGAAGAUGUAACGGGGCUAAACCAUGCACCGAAGCUGCGGCAGCGACACUUAUGUGUUGUUGGGUAGGGGAGCGUUCUGUAAGCCGUUGAAGGUGUGCUGUGAGGCAUGCUGGAGGUAUCAGAAGUGCGAAUGCUGACAUAAGUAACGAUAAAGCGGGUGAAAAGCCCGCUCGCCGGAAGACCAAGGGUUCCUGUCCAACGUUAAUCGGGGCAGGGUGAGUCGACCCCUAAGGCGAGGCCGAAAGGCGUAGUCGAUGGGAAACAGGUUAAUAUUCCUGUACUUGNUGCGAAAGCGUGGGGAGCAAACAGGAUUAGAUACCCUGGUAGUCCACGCCGUAAACGAUGUCGACUUGGAGGUUGUGCCCUUGAGGCGUGGCUUCCGGAGCUAACGCGUUAAGUCGACCGCCUGGGGAGUACGGCCGCAAGGUUAAAACUCAAAUGAAUUGACGGGGGCCCGCACAAGCGGUGGAGCAUGUGGUUUAAUUCGAUGCAACGCGAAGAACCUUACCUACUCUUGACAUCCAGAGAACUUUCCAGAGAUGGAUUGGUGCCUUCGGGAACUCUGAGACAGGUGCUGCAUGGCUGUCGUCAGCUCGUGUUGUGAAAUGUUGGGUUAAGUCCCGCAACGAGCGCAACCCUUAUCCUUUGUUGCCAGCGGUUAGGCCGGGAACUCAAAGGAGACUGCCAGUGAUAAACUGGAGGAAGGUGGGGAUGACGUCAAGUCAUCAUGGCCCUUACGAGUAGGGCUACACACGUGCUACAAUGGCGCAUACAAAGAGAAGCGACCUCGCGAGAGCAAGCGGACCUCAUAAAGUGCGUCGUAGUCCGGAUUGGAGUCUGCAACUCGACUCCAUGAAGUCGGAAUCGCUAGUAAUCGUGGAUCAGAAUGCCACGGUGAAUACGUUCCCGGGCCUUGUACACACCGCCCGUCACACCAUGGGAGUGGGUUGCAAAAGAAGUAGGUAGCUUAACCUUCGGGAGGGCGCUUACCACUUUGUGAUUCAUGACUGGGGUGAAGUCGUAACAAGGUAACCGUAGGGGAACCUGCGGUUGGAUCACCUCCUUACCUUAAAGAACCUGCCUUUGUAGUGUCCACACAGAUUGUCUGAUGAAAAGUAAAUAGCAAGGCGUCUUGCGAUUGAGACUGUACGUCCCCUUCGUCUAGAGGCCCAGGACACCGCCCUUUCACGGCGGUAACAGGGGUUCGAAUCCCCUAGGGGACGCCACUUGCUGGUUCGUGAGUGAAAGUCACCUGCCGUCAUAUCUCAAAACUGACUUGCGAGUCACGUUUGAGAUAUUUGCUCUU